rnacentral:rRNA from 1 species
CCCUUAGAUGUUCUGGGCCGCACGCGCGCUACACUGAUGCAUUCAACGAGCCUAUCCUUGACCGACAGGUCCGGGUAAUCUUUGAAUCUGCAUCGUGACGGGGUUAGAUUAUUGCAAUUAUUAAUCUUCAACGAGGAAUGCCUAGUAGGCGCAAGUCAUCAGCUUGCGUCGAUUACGUCCCUGCCCUUUGUACACACCGCCCGUCGCUCCUACCGAUUGGGUGUGCUGGUGAAAUGUUCGGAUCGGCCGUUUGUCGCGGUUUCCGCGUCAUGUGGCUGAGAAGUUCAUUAAACCCUCCCACCUAGAGGAAGGAGAAGUCGUAACA